UACGUAGGGUGCAAGCGUUGUCCGGAAUUAUUGGGCGUAAAGAGCUCGUAGGCGGUUUGUCGCGUCUGCUGUGAAAACUCGGGGCUUAACCCCGGGCCUGCAGUGGGUACGGGCAGACUAGAGUUCGGUAGAGGAGUGUGGAAUUCCUGGUGGAGCGGUGAAAUGCGCAGAUAUCAGGAGGAACACCCGUAGCGAAGGCGGCACUCUGGGCCGAUACUGACGCUGAGGAGCGAAAGCGUGGGGAGCGAACAGG
rnacentral:rRNA from 1 species